GGGGGAUUAGCUCAUUUGGCUAGAGCACCUGCCUUGCACGCAGGGGGUGGUGGGUUCGAAUCCCAUAUCCUCCA
rnacentral:tRNA from 2 species